rnacentral:rRNA from 1 species
CCUACGGGAGGCUGCAGUGAGGAAUAUUGGUCAAUGGGCGAGAGCCUGAACCAGCCAAGUCGCGUGAGGGAGUACUGCCCUAUGGGUUGUAAACCUCUUUUGUCGGGGAGCAAAAGCCGGACGUGUCCGGCUGUGAGAGUACCCGAAGAAAAAGCAUCGGCUAACUCCGUGCCAGCAGCCGCGGUAAUACGGAGGAUGCGGGCGUUAUCCGGAUUUAUUGGGUUUAAAGGGUGCGCAGGCGGAUUUUUAAGUCAGCGGUAAAAUCGUGGGGCUCAACCCCAUCCAGCCGUUGAAACUGGGGAUCUAGAGUGUGCGAGAGGUAUGCGGAAUGCGUGGUGUAGCGGUGAAAUGCAUAGAUAUCACGCAGAACCCCGAUUGCGAAGGCAGCAUACCGGUGCACAACUGACGCUCAGGCACGAAAGCGUGGGUAUCGAACAGGAUUAGAUACCCCUGUAGUC